rnacentral:lncRNA from 1 species
AUAGUCUUUGUUUUCAAAUAUAUAUAAAAAAUAUAACAUUUUAAUUCAACUGUUCGAUCUUUCAAAUUUCAAAAUUUUGAUUUUAGUGCUCAAUCUUUCAAUUUGUUUGGUUUUAAUAAUUUAAGGAAAAACUUCAAAUACUACCUAUAUAGUUUCGCGCUUUUCCACUUUAGUACCCUGUGAUUUAAAAUGUAUCACCUUCACAUCACGUGGUUUUAUUUUUUCUUUUCGUUAUCUCGUCUGUUAAUUUUUUUUCAUUAAAUCAGCGACAAAGUUAAAACCACAGGAUACUAAAGCGAAUAUUCGAUAAAUCAUUGGUGGGGUAUCUGAAGUUUUUUGUACAUGAUUUAACGAAGAGUAAACGGAGACGCUGACGAAAAGACAAAAAAAAAAUCACAGGAUACUGAAGUGAUACAGUUUAAACUACAUGAUACUAAAGUGAGAAAGCAUGAAACUACAAGAGUGAUAUUUAAAGUUUACCCAUAAUUUAAUAAUUCUUCGGAUACAAAAUUUAAGCUAAUUAUUUAUUAUAAUAAAUUUAUACUUAUGUGAAUUAUCUUAAAUAUACUAACUAUCCUGUAAAGAUAAAUGGUCCGUUCAAAUUUUGAAAUUAAAAGAUCACUAACUAGCUCAGAUCAAAUAACUUAAAAGGUCAAGUAGUAAAAUUAAAAUUUUUUUAAGCUCCGAUAGUUAUAAUGGAAUAGGUGAUAGUUGAGGUAAAUUUGAAAUAUGGUAAAUAAGAGGCUAAAUUACAGAAAAUUGAACAAAAAUAAGAAACGCGGUGAAUCGUUCACCGUUUUUAGAAAGCGGUAAAUUUUAAAUUUAAAAUUUUCUUUUAUAUUGUUACAUUAUAUGUAGAUUAUUGGAGUUUUUAUUUCAGUCUUAGAAUUAUAUGAAUAGAUCGUUAAGAUUGUAUGUGAUUUAUUAAAAUUUUAAAAAAUUUAUAUAAAAAUUAGAAAGAAAUAGUUUGAUGAUUCAAACCGUCUUUUAAAUUUUAUUAAUUAAAGAUGAUGAAUGAUUCAUCAUUUUUUUAAUUGUUGUUUCAGCCUGAUGCUGAGUUAACGAAUUAGGUUAUUUAGCCGGUUAAAUUACAGAUAACUCGCUUAUAGAAUAUCUGCUUUUUUACUUUCUCUUCCUAACUUUCGAAAAUCUAUAUUUUACUCCCUCAACAUUUCAAGUUAUUACAUUUAGCCUUACUCCAUCAUGGUUCCGUCACUAUUCCGUUCUGUUUCUUAUAAUUUAUACCGAAAAUAUCCUUUAAAAUAACAGAAAUAUAUUAAAAGUUUAUUUUUUUUUUAAGAAGAAGUAAGGGCAAUUUAGUUCUUUUGCCCUCUCCGUUAAUGCCAUAUCUUUGAAAAUAUUUUUGAAAUUUUAAGGAGGGGGCAAAAUGUAGGUUUUUAAAAAUUAGGGAGGCAAGUGAAAAAGUCGGUAUUUAUGGGGGGGUUUCUGCAAAUAAACUUAUUUGUGGCGUUUGAGAGGGUUAUUUGGCAUAUUAUAAAUUUUUCGAGUGUUUAUGUGAAAAAGCGCUUCUAAUAAUCGCAAUGAGAAAGCCCUAGUUAGGGUUCCUCGUCCCCGCCCCCGCCCCCUCUUCGUCGUCGCCUUCGCCCUUGCCGUAAGAGUUUAACCUAGCUCGACGAUCCAAUCCAUGGGGCGGAACGAGGGAGCAGCGAGGGAGGCGGAGGCCGCGGCCAUGGGCGGCGGCGGCGGAGGCCACCGAUUCUUGGAUCGGAGCAAGGUGAGGAUUCUGCUGUGCGACCCCAAAAGCUCCCAAGAGGUGCUCCACCUCCUCUCCAAGUGCUCCCACCAAGGUGAUUUCAAUUUCAAUGAAAUUAGGGUUCAUCUCGCCUUCCUUUCACUCCCUUAGCACUUUUAUUUUCGGUAAAAAUAUAGAGAACUUGAUAUCGUUCCACUGUAUCGAAAGAGCGAAUCGAUCCUUCGAGGGGAUCGUGCCUCCGGAUAAUAAAGACGUAGAGAGAAGAGGACGAGAUAUGAGGGAAAAGGAGACAAUUUUGCUUGCCUAUAAGCCUAUUUCUAAAUAAAAAGCUAUUUGAAUUACAUUUGAAUUUGUUUAUUAAAAGAAAACUACCUGGGGUCGCAUAAGAACUUAUCAGUAGUAUGGACCAUUUGGAUUUGGUUACCUAACUUUUCAAAAUUUUGAUUUUACUAUCUAACCUUUCAAUUUGCUUGAUUUGAGGCAGUAAACUGCACUUUGAAGUCAAAGUUUGAUAUACAGAUUUAGUUAGUAUACUUCAUGUAAUUCUCACAACGAUAAAUUCAUUAAAAUAAGCAAUUAGCUUAAAUUUUGGAGUCAAAGUGCCGCUAACUUGAAAGAUUGAUUAGUUUAAAUCAAAAUUUUGAAAGGUUGGGUCGCCAACUCAAAAUAAUCUAGAGUUCAAGUAAGUUUUGUUUGUUUUUACCUUUCAAGAAUCACCUUUGCACCUUUUCUCCUGCCUCAACAAUCUGUUUUAAGUUUUCAAGUGCUUCAAUUUUAAAUUUGUCUUAGUAAUCCUAUCUCAGUAGCUUCAAGAAUCAGGAAAACUCUGACAAAUGUCUUCGCAGGUGAUGCUUUCUAUACUUAAUAGAAAGAAUCACUUGCAUUGAAUAAAUUGUCUGUGUCUCAAUUGCUACCAUACAUAAAGAAUUGCUUCAUCCUUAAGUCUGCACUUCACCUUUGGCUCAAUUAGGCCCAAAAUUUGGUGUGAUUGUCAAAUUCGGUUCUAAAACUUUGGCGCCAUUGCUCGUCAUGUCAUAUUAGUUAUAUAUCUAAAUAUCUAUCCAAAGUUGCUAGUGCAACAACUUAUAUGAUA